rnacentral:rRNA from 1 species
UAAGGAAUAUUGCGCAAUGGGCGAAAGCCUGACGCAGCGACGCCGCGUGGGGGAUGAAGGUCUUCGGAUUGUAAACCCCUUUCGGGAGGGAAGAUGGAGCGAGCAAUCGUUCGGACGGUACCUCCAGAAGCAGCCACGGCCAACUUCGUGCCAGCAGCCGCGGUAAUACGAAGGUGGCAAGCGUUGUUCGGAUUCACUGGGCGUACAGGGUGUGUAGGCGGUUUGGUAAGCCGUUCUGUUAAAGCUUCGGGCCCAACCCGGAAAGCGCAGAGGGUACUGCCAGGCUAGAGGGUGGGAGAGGAGCGCGGAAUUCCCGGUGUAGCGGUGAAAUGCGUAGAGAUCGGGAGGAAGGCCGGUGGCGAAGGCGGCGCUCUGGGAACAUACCUGACGCUGAGACACGAA